rnacentral:rRNA from 1 species
UACCAGCACCCCGAGUGGUCGGGACGAUUAUUGGGCCUAAAGCAUCCGUAGCCGGUCCUGCAAGUCUUCCGUUAAAUCCAGCUGCUCAACAGAUGGGCUGCGGGGAUACUACAGGGCUAGGAGGCGGGAGAGGCAAGCGGUACUUUAUGGGUAGGGGUAAAAUCCGUUGAAUCCAUAGAAGACCACCAGUGGCGAAGGCGGCUUGCCAGAACGCGCUCGACGGUGAGGGAUGAAAGCUGGGGGAGCAAACCGG